rnacentral:lncRNA from 1 species
AAUUAACCGCGACAGCUUCAUCUUCAACAACACCGAGUGCAUCUUUUGUGAGUUGGCCCAAAUGGUUUAGCCCACUUAUUACAUUAAACUCAAAGGGUACACCCAUUAACCUAGCAAACUUCUCCAUUCGCUGGCUUAUUUCCUUCAUCACCGAUCUUACAAUAUUAGCAGUGACCACAACAGUGAGCUUUAAGUGUGGGGUGUCAUCGUUUCGAGUGGCCAAAGCUUCGAGCAAAGUAGGCCAUUGAGUGCAAAGGGUAUUGCUUAUAUCAAUGAUGUGAAGUUUGGGCUCACCAUCUAAGGCUUCCAGGAUUGCACCAUUGGCGGCUACGU